UACAGAGGUCUCAAGCGUUGUUCGGAUUCAUUGGGCGUAAAGGGUGCGUAGGUGGCGCUGUAAGUCGGGUGUGAAAUCUCGGGGCUUAACUCCGAAACUGCAUUCGAUACUGGCGUGCUUGAGGACUGGAGAGGAGACUGGAAUUCAUGGUGUAGCGGUGAAAUGCGUAGAGAUCAUGAGGAAGACCAGUGGCGAAGGCGGGUCUCUGGACAGUUCCUGACGCUGAGGCACGAAGGUCAGGGGAGCAAACGGG
rnacentral:rRNA from 1 species